UAGGGAAUCUUCCACAAUGGACGCCAGUCUGAUGGAGCAACGCCGCGUGAGUGAAGAAGGUUUUCGGAUCGUAAAGCUCUGUUGUUGGUGAAGAAGGAUAGAGGUAGUAACUGGCCUUUAUUUGACGGUAAUCAACCAGAAAGUCACGGCUAACUACGUGCCAGCAGCCGCGGUAAUACGUAGGUGGCAAGCGUUGUCCGGAUUUAUUGGGCGUAAAGCGAGCGCAGGCGGAAGAAUAAGUCUGAUGUGAAAGCCCUCGGCUUAACCGAGGAACUGCAUCGGAAACUGUUUUUCUUGAGUGCAGAAGAGGAGAGUGGAACUCCAUGUGUAGCGGUGGAAUGCGUAGAUAUAUGGAAGAACACCAGUGGCGAAGGCGACUCUCUGGUCUGCAACUGACGCUGAGGCUCGAAAGCAUGGGUAGCGAACAGG
rnacentral:rRNA from 1 species